rnacentral:lncRNA from 1 species
CAAAUACCCAGUGGGAAACCUCUAAAGGAUAUUUAAGCCCCAGAAAAUUCUGUAACUAGCUCUCUUGAGCCACUUGCACAAUCCCACUCCUAGUCUGUGGAGUGUACUUUUGUUUCAAUAAUUCUAUGCUUUUAUUACUUCAUUCCUUCAUUUUUUUUGUGCAUUUUGUUCAAUUCUUUGUUCAAAACACCAAGAACCUGGACAACUCGUAGUCAAGAACCUCCACUGGUAACAUUACUAUAUGCUUGGCCCUGUUCUAAGGACUGGAGUGUGUAUGGUUAUUCACAGAAGCAGAAACAGGCUCAGAGACGUGAAAAAAUUUUCUCGCAUUUUCAGAGCUGGAAAGAAGUGGAACCUGGAUUUAAACACAGGCAACUCUAGAGCCUCAAGUUCCACUAUGAUCCUUAUUAGAACAUUAAAACGUCCAACACAAAGAAAUGAUACAUGUUUGAGAUGUUUGCCCAGAGCCCUGUGAGACUCUGGGGACACAAAGACAAAUGGCGUCUCUAGCACGAAGCAUGCUGGAGCUGGGAAGUUGGUGAGGAAGCAAAUCAUUUCAGUGCAGCCCAGGGACACUAUAGUGAACUAUGAGGGCACCCAGAGGACAGAGCCAACUCUCUGGAGGAACUUGGGCAUAACAAAUAAGCAUGUAACCUUGAAGCAAGGCCAUUGAAGGAAGCCAACCUGUGAAAACGUAGUUCAGAAAAGAUGGUCACAAACAAUAUGGUCACAUUGUUUGAACUCCAGAUUCAGUCUCAUCUGAAAUUACAAUUACUCUGGACUAUUCCCUCAGAUUUCAGCUGCUAUUUGGAGUAGCUGGAGAAAACAUAACCAGUUUCCAACUGCAAGAUGAAGACAGUGUGUUCUUUGUCUUCUCCAGUAGCUUCUUUAUACCACUACAAUUUCUCCCUUGUUGGGGAGAAUUCUUUACCUGCAAAUACAACUGAUGGUUUCCAGGUGUCAGCAGAAGACCUUCAAAAACACACUGAUGGACAGUUUGGUUCUAUCAUGAAGGAAACAUCUGUCACCCACUUCCAGAAAAUGAGGGUUGCCCUUCCCUCAACUGUGGCAGGGAGCUGAGGACACAACAUCACAGACUAACUAUUCUCACAAAGAAUGUUGGGUUUAAAAUAGAAAUUUCAGCAAACGACACCACUUUUCGCAAGUAGCAGCUAGUAUCAUCUAGCACUGAAUACAAAUAUGACUUCACUUAGUGAGAGUCUGUGAAUGUAUCAGAUUUAGAGGGUUUCUGUGUAAAUGAUAUCCUAAAUUUAAAUGCUCUGGGAGCAUAGAUUGAACUGUCGUGAGGGAUUUGUCUCAGAGAUAGCCAAAUCUUUGUGGAAGGCUUCC